rnacentral:lncRNA from 1 species
UGAAUAGCAAUUCGUUAUAGGGGUUUGUUUAGCUUCCAUUAUCUCGUCUGCAUCGGCUCUCUUUUUUUGCUUAGUGGUCAAAGUUUUGUUAUUGAUUCAGAGUACAGCAUUCUUCUUCUUGACCUUUGUGUAAUUCUAAUUGAACAUUCCUGGCAGUAGGCAUAUCAAUUGCAAACAUAAACAGAGUCUCCUACUUUUAUGAUUUGAUUACAGAUAUUGGGCUGUUUCUGAUAGCAUAAAAGGUCAGGACUUGAUGAUGAUGAUGCUGGUGAUGAUCUUACUGCAGGUGUUAGCCUGGUGUUGCUGAAAAGAUCAGAUUAGCCCUUCAGAUGCCAUUUCCUGUAAUUCUUUGGUGUGUUUUCGUAUUCUUGAUGGAUGUGUAUCAUUUUAGGGGAAAGAAUGCAUGUGAGAUGUUGGCCUGAGUUGGAAAGAGGAUGCACAACUUGUCAUUUAUGUAUAAAGAUAUCUGUACAUCUGGUGGCCUUGAACUGCAGAGGAAAAGAUAAAACACAAUAGGACCCUAUAUAGAACUUUCAAUUGGAAAGUGACAAUUCAUUGCUAUGUAUUUCACAUGGACUGAUUAACCAUCCCCACCCACCAUACAACUAUUGUAUUUGUUCGUGUUUCCACGAGUUUCGAGUCAUGGUGGAGUAGCUCAGUUGGUAUCGUUGUGUGUUGGUGAUUCAGAAGUAUUGAGUUCGAAUCCGUUUAUUUCCCUUUUUAUCUUGUAAUUGCGAGAGGUGUACCGAAUGAUGUCAUUUGUGUUGUAUAGAAAAUCAAAUUUAUUUCCCUUUUUAUUUUGUAAUUGCGAAAGAUGUAUCGAAUGAUGCCAUUUGUGUUGUAUAGAAAAUCAAAUUGAGAAUGGGUCUUUAGCAAUCAAUCAUAAUGAUGUUGGUAAUGCAUUUUUUUUGGGUUAAUGUUGUUGGUAAUGCAUGGGUAAAGGAAGUUUGAGUUUUCUUCACUCUUAAAACUUUUCUCCAACUCUCAAAGAUGUGACUAGUCCUAGUUCCAAUGGUAGUGGG